UACGUAGGGGGCAAGCGUUGUCCGGAUUUAUUGGGCGUAAAGAGCGUGUAGGCGGCCAGACAGGUCAGCUGUGAAAACUCGAGGCUCAACCUCGAGACGUCGGUUGAAACCGUCUGGCUAGAGUCCGGAAGAGGAGAGUGGAAUUCCCGGCGUAGCGGUGAAAUGCGCAGAUAUCGGGAAGAACACCCGUGGCGAAGGCGGCUCUCUGGGACGGUACUGACGCUGAGACGCGAAAGCGUGGGGAGCGAACAGG
rnacentral:rRNA from 1 species